GCCUGGGUGGCUCAGUCGGUUAAGCAUCUGACUUCAGCUCAGGUCACAAUCUCACGGUUUGUGAGUUCGAGCCCCACAUCAGGCU
rfam:Felis catus isolate Cinnamon breed Abyssinian chromosome B1, whole genome shotgun sequence.